CAGCUUGUUGGUGAGGUAAUGGCUCACCAAGGCGUCGACGGGUAGCCGGCCUGAGAGGGUGACCGGCCACACUGGGACUGAGACACGGCCCAGACUCCUACGGGAGGCAGCAGUGGGGAAUAUUGCACAAUGGGCGCAAGCCUGAUGCAGCAACGCCGCGUGAGGGAUGACGGCCUUCGGGUUGUAAACCUCUUUUAGCAGGGAAGAAGCGAAAGUGACGGUACCUGCAGAAAAAGCGCCGGCUAACUACGUGCCAGCAGCCGCGGUAAUACGUAGGGCGCAAGCGUUAUCCGGAAUUAUUGGGCGUAAAGAGCUCGUAGGCGGUUUGUCGCGUCUGCUGUGAAAUCCCGAGGCUCAACUUCGGGUCUGCAGUGGGUACGGGCAGACUAGAGUGCGGUAGGGGAGAUUGGAAUUCCUGGUGUAGCGGUGGAAUGCGCAGAUAUCAGGAGGAACACCGAUGGCGAAGGCAGAUCUCUGGGCCGUAACUGACGCUGAGGAGCGAAAGGGUGGGGAGCAAACAGGCUUAGAUACCCUGGUAGUCCACCCCGU
rnacentral:rRNA from 1 species